CGGGUGGGACGGAGGACCCCGGCGGUCUCCCAGACAAAGGGGGCGGCCAGGGAGGCGGCGGCCGCGGGGCCUCCAGGCGCCCCCAGGCGCCCCCAGGCUGGAGGAGGAGCCGGGGCUAAGGGGAGGAGGGGGCGGUGCCCGGGCCCCGCAGGCACGUGCCGCGCCCUCCCGGGGACCCGCGCCCGCCCGCCACCGUCAGUACCGGCCUCGUCUGGGCGGCCCGUCACGUCGCAGACGGGCGGCCUCCCGGGGGGACGGGGUAGGCCCCAGACCCAUAGCCUGGGGGCCACCGCGGGAGCCGACGAGCGUCCGGGUGCGCUGGGCGCGGGCGCCGAGAGCCGGAGGGCGGGGUCCCGCCCCUGCCUGGGCGCGGCGCCCCGCCCCCGCCACCUGGGAGCCCCGCCCCGCCCCCGCCACCUGGGGGAUCCCGCCUCCGCCGGCGCGGUCGGGACGGGGUCUCCCGGAACCGCAGCCCCCCACCGUUUCCUCCCGGCCUCGCGGUCGCCCCUGCACUUCCGGCGCGGGACCCCCGCCCCCGCCCCCGCCCCCGCCCUCGCCCGCCCCACGCGCAGUUUCGAGCCCCCGGGGGCCGAGCCACUCACCGCGCCAAGUCCCCGCCGUGACCUCGCGCCGCCUGGGCGCAGCUCCGGGUGGUCUCAGGUCCGCGCCCCCGCCCGGCCCCACCCCACCCGCUCCCCGCCGUCCAAUCCGUCGCCGAGCUCCAAGCCACGCCCUGAUCCGACCGGGCUCCCACCGCCGGGACCCCCGCCCCGCCUCCGCUUCCCCGGCCCCGAGAUACCGCGCGCGCGGCCCCCGGGGCCCCACGGACCUCUCCGGCCCCAGCUGACCCUCGGGCCGCGCUCAAGUUUCUGGAAAUCCCACCCCCACGCCCUGCGCCCGCGGCCGCGCUGCCCCCUGCCCGGCCCGGCUGAUGGCGGCCCUAGGCUCCCACGGCCCAGAGCACACAGCCCCAUUGUCCCGGUUAUCUGCACUUGUUAUAUUUGUUUGAUUAUGCAGGACCGGAUCGGGGACGUGGAGCUCCGGGAGGGACGGGCCGUUGUGACUCAGCCGGGUGCCCGGGCCCAGCCCGUACUUCUUGUAGGUGCUCAAGGAUGUUUGGGGAUGAAAGGGGGCCUUAGUUCCUCCAGUGGGUAA
rnacentral:lncRNA from 1 species